UCUCCGUAGGUGAACCUGCGGAGGGAUCAUUACAGAGCAUCAUGCCCUUCGGGGUAGAUCUCCCACCCUGUGUAUUAUAUACCUUUGUUGCUUUGGCAGGCCGUCAGGCUCCGGCUCGACUACCGGCUCCGGCUGGUAAGCGCCUGCCAGAGGAAAAUCAAACUCUGAAUGUCAGUGUCGUCUGAGUAAAAACAUAAUAAGUUAAAACUUUCAACAACGGAUCUCUUGGUUCUGGCAUCGAUGAAGAACGCAGC
rnacentral:misc_RNA from 1 species